UACGGGGGGAGCAAGCGUUGUUCGGAUUUACUGGGCGUAAAGGGCGCGUAGGCGGUCGUGACAAGUCACUUGUGAAAUCUCCGGGCUUAACUCGGAACGGCCAAGUGAUACUGUCGGACUAGAGUACAGAAGGGGCAACUGGAAUUCUCGGUGUAGCGGUGAAAUGCGUAGAUAUCGAGAGGAACACCUGCGGCGAAGGCGGGUAGCUGGGCCAUUACUGACGCUGAGGAGCGAAAGCGUGGGGAGCGAACAGG
rnacentral:rRNA from 1 species